AUGGGACAAAAAAUAAAUCCACUCGGUUUCAGACUUGGUACAACCCAAAAACACCAUUCCUUUUGGUUCGCACAACCAAAAAAUUAUUCUGAAGGUCUACAGGAAGAUAAAAAAAUAAGGGAUUGUAUCAAGAACUAUAUACAAAAGAAUAGGAAAAAGGGCUCGAAUAGAAAAAUAGAGUUCAAGUUCCGAAGUAAUUACACAUAUAGAAAUCCAAAAAGAAAUCGAUACGAUCCACGUCAUAAUCCAUAUUGGAUUCCCAAAUUUAUUAAAGAAAAAAGGAGCAACCGAAGAAUUAGAGAAAGAUCUACAAAAGGAAAUUAA
rnacentral:rRNA from 1 species